UACGGGGGGGGCAAGCGUUGUUCGGAAUUACUGGGCGUAAAGGGCUCGUAGGCGGCCAACUAAGUCGGACGUGAAAUCCCCGGGCUCAACCCGGGAACUGCGUCCGAUACUGGAAGGCUUGAAUCCGGGAGAGGGAUGCGGAAUUCCAGGUGUAGCGGUGAAAGUGCGUAGAUAUCGGAAGGAACGACCCGUGGCGAAGGCGGCUCUCUGGGACGGUACUGACGCUGAGACGCGAAAGCGUGGGGAGCGAACAGG
rnacentral:rRNA from 1 species